UUUUUUUUAUUUUAUGUAAAACGUAUUUUUAUAAGUAUUUUUCAUUAAUAAUAAUUUUCAAAAAUGUUCGGCAGGCGAUCGCUCUCCCUGGAUCCACGGCUGGGUAUGCCUCGCUGUACCUACUCAGUACUCACAGUACUCACCGAUAUACGAAAUCAGAAAUGGAGAAAAAAAAAUACCUGGAGGGGUGGCGUAGAAUAAUUUAUUAUUGUUUUAUAAAUCGUACACAAGAAUAUGAGUAUCAUUAAAAUCGUUCGGCCGGAAUACUUAACCACUGAACUCUGCACGUGCCACGUACCGCAACCAUUACUCAACUGAUAACUGAACUCGGGUAUCGCUGCGAAUGAAGUUCUAAAUGAACUAUCCAAAAUAAAAAUACUCACAGAAUCUACAAAGAAAAUUCGACUUCAUAAUUUAAUUCACUAUAUUGUGUACGGUAUAAUCAGUGGCGUGCAUAGCGAUGAGGUUUGGAGUUUUAUUCCGUCCCAUUGGCUUCAAAAUACAACAACUGUGGGUGUUCAUUUAUUUAUUUUAUCUUGAAAUUAUGUAUUUUAGUCGAAUUAUAAAGAAAAAAAAGCUCGAUUUAUUGAAUAAAAACUGACUUUUCUGGAUCCGACUAUUAAGUUUUCGUUGUCGGAUUAGGUACAACAGAAGAAUAUCCUAUGGUUUAUUCAUGAAUCGGGCAAAGAACAUUCCUGGGCACGCAACUGAACAUAAUAAAUGUUAUACUUGUAUACAAGUUUAAUAUACAAAAGCAAUAAAAGUAACAUUUAAAAAGUCAGACAUGCCACACUCACUAUAUACCUGCGGGGUCUGAAAUAUACCUAUACUGAUAUAGGUACCUAACUUUUGCUCCGAUCAUCAAAUGCAGGUGUUGUUUGUGUUAUCAAAUUGUAUCGAGAUACCCGAAAUGUUCACGGAAUAUCAUCAACACACUUUCUAUAAGUGGUGCAAUUUUUCUAAACGUCCAUUUACAUCUUAUCACUUACAAUUUAGGCAUUGGCGUGGCUAAAAAAUAAAAAUUAGUUUUUUACGAAUUAAAAAAAUAGGAUUUUGAUUUUGCUGGAAAAAAGUAACGAAAUUAAUAUACAUAUAUA